GACGUAGGGCGCGAGCGUUAAUCGGAAUUACUGGGCGUAAAGCGUGCGCAGGCGGUCUUGUAAGUCUGACGUGAAAUCCCCGGGCUCAACCUGGGAAUGGCGUUGGAGACUGCAAGGCUGGAGUCUGGCAGAGGGGGGUAGAAUUCCACGUGAUAGCAGUGAAAUGCGUAGAGAUGUGGAGGAACACCGAUGGCGAAGGCAGCCCCCUGGGUCAAGACUGACGCUCAUGC
rnacentral:rRNA from 1 species